GACAGAGGGGGCAAGCGUUGCUCGGAAUCACUGGGCGUAAAGGGCGCGUAGGCGGGAUGGCAAGUCGGUCGUGAAAUCCUUCGGCCCAACCGAAGAACGUCGGCCGAUACUGCCGUUCUUGAGGGAUGCAGAGGAGACUGGAAUUCCCGGUGUAGCGGUGAAAUGUGUAGAGAUCGGGAGGAACACCGGUGGCGAAGGCGGGUCUCUGGACAGUUCCUGACGCUGAGGCACGAAGGCCAGGGGAGCAAACGGG
rnacentral:rRNA from 1 species